CUCUUGCUAGAGACCUCUGUCUACCUGUGGCUUUCCAAAGAAAAUCUGUGAAAAUGCUAGUGGAACCCAUAAACCUCAUACUAUGUGAUUAUGCCUCCACAAGAGAAACAGAAGCACGGACCUAUGUUGCUUUUCUGAACGGGCAUACGAUCUCGCAAUAGGCUGUGGCAAUUAAAUAUCAGAACUGAGAUUUCUCAGAAAGAAAUGCUGAAGAGGUUGCCACUUUGCAGAUGUGCUCUUACUGUAUAGAAAUUCCUAUGGGAGGGGGGGAGUACUACAGAGACAAUUUAAAAAAUGGGCUAUUACCAUUUUUUCUCUUUUUUUUUUAUAAAAGCUAGUAGUGUACAUAAAUCUUCAAGUUAUUUGGCAUUAGAUAAAACAGUGAAUUUUUAUUUUUCUAUGGCAUAUAUUAGCAUGGUGCUUUCUCUAGAUGUAAUAGCCGUAUGGAUUCUGUCUUCUCUAAAUGGCUGUGUGUGGUACGUCAAAAUGUGGUAUGCUUUCUCAGGCUUGGGGCAGGACAAAGAAUAACUGGAGUGAUUUGAAACCAGAAUUUGCUACUAUGUGGAUGGAAGUUAGUGUGACUAGCUUCAGGAGAGAAGAAAUUAAACAUACAGGAGCUGCAGGCUGUUUCCCAGGGUCAACACAGUCCCUAAGCACUAUAUUUGAGGCUGUCUUCAUUACUUCCUGCUCAAGAGUUUUUCUUCAAAAUAGAUGUCACCUGAUAGAUAUCCAUAAUAAACAUCAGCAUGGUUUUUCUUACAGUUAAAAACUGUGCACUAGGGACUGCUCUUGAAGAUAACAUUAUACAAAUAUAUGGAAUCUGAGUAUUUCUGUGCGUGCUCUUUCCUUAGGGUAAAUACCUUUCCCAAGAGUUUCUCUCUUCAGUUACAUCUUGUUAACUUGUUAGGAAUACUUGUUAGUAUUCCUUCUUUCCGAAGUCAGGAGAAAUGAUUAAGUGCUUAAAAUUGUUUUUAUGAACAAAACGGUAAUGUAGGUUGCAUCGAUCUCUGAUGCAGACAGUUCCACUUCACAUAUUGUGUUUUUAUCCUGUUCAACACAAAUACUCUCUGCUUUGUGGUGAUUUAUUGGCAGUGAAAUUCCAUCCGUGGUACUCCUCUGUUCAAAAGCUUCUUUCCAGAUCAUAUCUUUACUCCUACACCUAAGAAUUUCUUUUCAUUUCCCUAACCUUUUCCCUUUUUCUAAUUCUCUUUUCUAAGUUUCUCUUCCGUUUCAAAUUGUCCUUACAGUGUAGCAUAUGAUUCAUUAGAGGAAGAACUAUUCCAUGCAUCAAGCUGCAGAUUGGCCUGUGGUUCUCUUCCCCAAGUAUAUUUUCUAAAAUGUAGUCUCUGUGUAAGUUAAGAUGUCAUUUGGAAUAUAAAAAUCAGGAUAGAUGACCAUGUCUGUAUUCACUCCAAUGUGUGGGAUUAAAAACAGCAAGCAAUGGAUAAAAGUAGAUCAAAUGGCUUAUAUAAAAGCAAAGAGAAGUGGAGCAGUGGUUCUAAUUCUUAUUCUCACUGUCACAGUGUGAUCAUUGUUUUAUUUACUGAGUAGCACUUUAAUUUCUAAGUCAGCAAUGCAGACAGCAUGUGUUUCACUUAGAAAUGCAGUACAUCCUGCCUUAAAGGUGGCCUGUGAUUGAGCUCUUUUAAACAAUUACUGGGUAUGAAAUGGAUUGAUUGCUCUCACUUAGAUACAGUGCUCAAUUAAUAGAGUUCUAUUAACAUUCAGCUUGGAGAACAAGACAGGACUUGACAGUUAAUUGACUGUUUAGUAGCCUGUUGCAUUUGAAGAUCUGAAACGAACUUUUCUUCACACUUAAUGAGCUAGAGCAUUUUAAAUUGGAAAAAUGUUUGCCAUAGUGCUCCAGCUGUUCCCAUUAUAAAUGCCUGGGGACCCGUCUAGUUUAAUUUGUUAUGCUCUCAUGUAAAGUUCAUGACAAUGUAUUUUAAAUGGUAACAUAUGGAUCAGGAGGAAAAAUAAAUCACCUUUUACACAAGAUUCUUCAAAGACUGAAUAAGCUGUGCUUCAGCCCUGAGGAAGCCUUGAAGCAGACAUUUAAAAGCAAGCUGUUGUUUAUGGGGGUGGCAGACCUCAUAUCAGAGACAGAGCACAAAAACCUUUUCCAAACUGUGGUGUCUACAGAAGUCAUCUGCAUAGGGGACUUUGCACCAGAGAGCCUAUGCUUGGGAUCUUGUGGUUUUUUAUUAUGUAGGAGGAGGCAAUGGGGAAGAAAACUUAUGUUUUCAAUAUAAUCCUAAAAUGUGCCCUGGCUUCUGGAAAAAAAUCAAAAUGUCUGCAAAGUUGUUUUUCUCAUUAGAUUAACUUUGCAAGCUUUCCAUCAGAGCUUAUGUCUAAGAGGAGCUAAAAUACCUGUGAAGCAGUGGUGGGAGGAAUUGUUACCACCUAAUUUUCAGUUCCUUCCUUACAUUGGAAAAUGAUGUACAAGCACAUUGGAAGAGUUCCCUUGCCUAGGAAAGGUAUGCGUGCUUAAAAGGGAUUUCACAUUUCUAUGUCGCUAGAGAGAUGAUCAAAAUUGUCAAAACUCCUGUUCAUCCCAAUUUAAAAGGAUUCUAAAUUCUUUUUUAUAUCUAGAAAUUACAGAGAAGAAUGUCUCUAUCAUCAGGGGAUUUACUUGAUCACAAAGAAUAUAAAAAAAAAAAUGCACAGAUUUAUCUAAACAUUAAUAUUGUGGUUCAACUAGUUUUAUGCCUGCAUGUGCUUUUAAGGGAAAGAAAUGCAUUAGUCAUGGUGAGAAUAAGAAGCGACAGCGCUAGUCUCUGGAGAAGAACUCCAAGCCAAAUGUAGGAUUGCUAUAUGAGUUUUAAUCGAAGUCCAACUGAGAUCUGUUAGAUCAGUGACUGUUGUUUGUUCUUAAACUCGUAGCCAAGGAUGACAAGU
ensembl:lncRNA